UAUGUAGGGAGCAAGCGUUGUCCGGAAUCAUUGGGCGUAAAGCGCGCGUAGGCGGCCUCAUAAGUCCGCUGUGAAAGUCAAAGGCUCAACCUUUGAAAGCCGGUGGAUACUGUGAGGCUAGAGUACGGAAGAGGCGAGUGGAAUUCCUGGUGUAGCGGUGGAAUGCGCAGAUAUCAGGAGGAACACCAAUAGCGAAGGCAGCUCGCUGGGACGUUACUGACACUGAGGCGCGAAAGCGUGGGGAGCGAACAGG
rnacentral:rRNA from 1 species